UAGGGAAUAUUGCGCAAUGGGCGAAAGCCUGACGCAGCCAUGCCGCGUGGAUGAUGAAGGCCUUCGGGUCGUAAAGUCCUUUUCUGAGGGAAGAACUGCCGGGGGAGGAAAUGCCCUUGGCUUGACGGUACCUCAGGAAUAAGCAACGGCUAACUCCGUGCCAGCAGCCGCGGUAAUACGGAGGUUGCAAGCGUUGUUCGGAAUGACUGGGCGUAAAGGGAGCGCAGGCGGCCAAGUCAGUCUGAAGUGAAAGCCCGGGGCUUAACC
rnacentral:rRNA from 1 species